rnacentral:rRNA from 1 species
UGUAAGCGUACACCAAAGUUGUUGCAGUUAAAACGCUCGUAGUCGGAAUUUGGCAGUUCCGGAAGUGUGCACGUCGUGUGCGCACUUUGCGGGGACUGCUUUUGUGGUCUUGCGUAGGAUGAGGCACUUUCAUUAGUGAACGUCCUCACGCAACCACUCUUUACUGUGAGAAAAUCAGAGUGCUCAAAGCAGGCAUUUGCCGUGAAUGUAUUAGCAUGGAAUAAUAGAAUAGGACUCGGUUCUAUUUUGUUGGUUUGUUGGGACUGAGUAAUGAUUAAGAGGGACAGUUGGGGGCAUUUGUAUUCCGGCGCUAGAGGUGAAAUUCUUAGAUUGCCGGAAGACAAACUGCUGCGAAAGCGUCUGCCAAGGAUGUUUUCAUUGA